rnacentral:sRNA from 1 species
GCAUUAGAAAAAUUGCGGAAUUACUGCCAACAGAGCAAAGCCUUCUGGAUUUCAGGUCCUUGAUACAAGAAGUCACUGAGAUAUGUUUGUACAAUGGAUGGGAAUUUGGCUUUCUGUCUUCAUGGAAGAACUUGGCCUCCUUUUUCCUCUUCCCUCUUUCAUCCACGGAAACAGUAUUUAGAAGAGCACAGAUUCAGCGUUGUGGUUGUGCCGUCACCAUUUCCAUGUAGUGAAGGCUGCACAGACUGAGUUAGGACAGCAAAUCCUGGCAGAUUUUGAAGAAGCGUUUCCUUCCCAGGGCACCAAGAGACCAGGAGGACCCAGCAAUGUUCUACGAGAUGCAUGUCUGGUUGCUAAUAUUCUAGACCCCAGGAUCAAACAGGAAAUCAUCAAAAAGUUUAUUAAACAGCAUCUGUCAGAGUAUCUGGUACUUUUUCAAGAAAACCAAGAUGUUGCCUGGCUGGACAAAAUCGACAGACGCUACGCCUGGAUAAAACGCCAGCUUGUGGACUAUGAGGAGAAAUACGGCCGCAUGUUUCCACGUGAGUGGUGCAUGGCUGAGAGGAUUGCGGUGGAAUUUUGCCAUGUGACAAGGGCAGAACUUGCCAAGAUUAUGCGUACCAGAGCGAAGGAAAUUGAAGUGAAAUUGCUUCUUUUUGCUAUUCAAAGAACAACUAACUUUGAGGGGUUUCUUGCAAAACGCUUCUCCGGCUGCACCCUGACCGAUGGGACCCUGAAAAAGCUUGAGUCUCCACCCCCAUCUACCAAUCCCUUCCUGGAAGAUGAGCCAACACCAGAGAUGGAGGAACUGGCAACGGAGAAAGGAGAUUUAGAUCAACUUGAAGUUACUGUUGUAAGGACCAAGACCUGCUCAUUCUAAGAACACUGACAUCUGACCAGUACAUGGGGUAAAGCAGAGUCAGGUGCUGGGAAAAUGCCGGACUCUUGUCGGCCAUUAACCGACUGACCAUGUGACCUUCGCCAAAGAAGCCUAAAGCCCCAGACAAUCCAUUUCAUGGCAUUGUUUCCAAGUGUUUUGAGCCUCAUCUCUACGUGUAUAUCGAAUCCCAAGACAAGAACCUCGGAGAGCUGAUAGAUCGGUUUGUGGCUGAUUUCAAAGCCCAGGGGCCACCUAAGCCCAACACUGAUGAAGGGGGUGCCGUGCUCCCCAGCUGCGCCGACCUCUUUGUCUACUACAAGAAGUGCAUGGUGCAGUGCUCUCAGCUCAGUACUGGGGAGCCCAUGAUCGCCCUGACCACCAUUUUCCAGAAGUACCUCCGAGAAUAUGCCUGGAAAAUCCUCUCUGGCAACCUGCCCAAAACCACAACGAGCAGUGGAGGGCUGACCAUCAGCAGCCUCCUCAAGGAAAAGGAGGGCUCAGAAGUAGCCAAGUUCACUCUGGAGGAGCUCUGCCUCAUCUGUAACAUCCUGAGCACGGCAGAGUACUGUCUGGCCACCACCCAGCAGCUAGAAGAAAAACUCAAAGAAAAAGUGGAUGUAAGUCUGAUUGAACAAAUCAAUCUGACUGGAGAGAUGGACACGUUCAGCACCGUCAUCUCCAGCAGUAUUCAGCUGCUGGUUCAGGAUCUGGAUGCUGCCUGUGAUCCUGCCCUGACUGCCAUGAGCAAGAUGCAGUGGCAGAACGUGGAGCACGUUGGUGACCAGAGCCCCUACGUCACCUCUGUCAUUCUGCACAUCAAGCAGAACGUCCCCAUCAUCCGUGACAACCUGGCUUCCACACGCAAGUACUUCACUCAGUUCUGCGUUAAAUUUGCAAACUCCUUCAUUCCCAAAUUCAUCACCCACCUCUUCAAGUGCAAGCCAAUUAGCAUGGUGGGAGCAGAACAGCUGCUGCUGGACACCCACUCGCUGAAGAUGGUCCUGCUUGAUCUCCCCUCCAUCGGCUCGCAGGUGGUGAGGAAGGCACCCGCCAGCUACACCAAGAUCGUUGUCAAAGGCAUGACCCGGGCUGAGAUGAUCCUCAAGGUAGUGAUGGCCCCUCAUGAACCGUUGGUGGUGUUUGUUGACAACUACAUCAAACUUCUCACAGACUGCAACGCAGAAACCUUUCAGAAGAUACUGGACAUGAAGGGGCUGAAGAGGAGUGAGCAGAGCAGCAUGCUGGAACUCCUGCGCCAGCGGCUCCCCGCACCGCCCUCGGGGGCAGAAAGCUCCGGCUCACUGUCCCUGACGGCGCCAACACCAGAGCAAGAGUCAUCACGCAUCCGCAAGCUCGAGAAACUCAUUAAAAAGAGACUGUAGCAGCAGCAAGGGGCCCUUUGCUCCUGGCUGCAGACCCUCAGCGCCCGUUCCCCAGAAGCCCCCGACCUCUCCUAUGCUCCCCGGCACUCUCACAUCGUCGGUCUUCAAACUUCCUGGGACAUGCGGGUUGUUACUGAGUCUCUCCCAUGCCGCCUUACUUCCUGCCCUAAUCA